GUAGGUGGCAAGCGUUGUCCGGAAUUAUUGGGCGUAAAGCGCGCGCAGGCGGUUCUUUAAGUCUGAUGUGAAAGCCCACGGGCUCAACCGUGGAGGGUCAUUGGAAACUGGAGAACUUGAGUACAGAAGAGGAAAGCGGAAUUCCACGUGUAGCGGUGAAAUGCGUAGAGAUGUGGAGGAACACCAGUGGCGAAGGCGGCUUUCUGGUCUGUAACUGACGCUGAGGCGCGAAAGCGUGGGGAGCAAACAGGAUUAGAUACCCUGGUAGUCCACGCCGUAAACGAUGAGUGCUAAGUGUUAGGGGGUUUCCGCCCCUUAGUGCUGCAGCUAACGCAUUAAGCACUCCGCCUGGGGAGUACGGCCGCAAGGCUGA
rnacentral:rRNA from 1 species